UUGAAAUGCAAAGAGACUCACAGGGAGCUGAAACUGCAAUGCCUCUCACAGGUGCAACUAUUGUUGAUCUUUCUGUUAAUGUAACACCAGUCGAGAAGUACAAGUUGCCUCCUGAAGCUUACCGACACAAGCUGGUAAGUCCUACCAUUUCUCUGUUUUGUUUACAAUGAUGUGUGCUUGAGAACAUGACUGCAACCCAAAAAAUAAUAUUUUAUAAUUUUUUUCCCGUCCCUAGUAUUUUAGUUUUGAUAGAAGAAAAAAAAGUGUCAUUUAUGGCACUCAAUUUCCUAGGCAUAUAUGUAGCUCAGUGAAUUGAAAUUUGUGAUAAAACUAAGUCUCUCGUGAUCAUGCUUCUCUGUAAUAGCUGAAGCUGCGAAUAGGAUAUUGAUAUAUUGUAGCACAAUUUGUCCACCCAUGUCCCUAAAUUUCAGACCUAUGAAGCAAAAAAUGUGACGAACAUCGGAUUUCAUGUUGAAAGCCAAUUUCUCUUAAAACAUAAUGUAUGCGGAAAAAAAUCAAUAAUUGUUUGAUUAAGUGAUCCUUCUUUCGCAUUCAA